AACGAACGCUGGCGGCGCGCCUAAUACAUGCAAGUCGAGCGAGAAGACGUAGCAAUACGUUUGUAAAGCGGCGAACGGGUGAGGAAUACAUGGGUAACCUACCCUCGAGUGGGGAAUAACUAGCCGAAAGGUUAGCUAAUACCGCGUACGCUCCUUGGACUUCGGUUCAGGGAGGAAAGCGAUACCGUGGGUAUCGCGCUCUUGGAUGGGCUCAUGUCCUAUCAGCUUGUUGGUGAGGUAACGGCUCACCAAGGCUUCGACGGGUAGCUGGUCUGAGAGGACGAUCAGCCACACUGGCACUGCGACACGGGCCAGACUCCUACGGAGGCAGCAGUAAGGAAUAUUGCGCAAUGGGCGAAAGCCUGACGCAGCGACGCCGCGUGGGGGAUGAAGGUCUUCGGAUUGUAAACCCC
rnacentral:rRNA from 1 species